rnacentral:rRNA from 1 species
AGCAGCCGCGGUAAUUCCAGCUCCAAUAGCGUAUAUUAAAGUUGUUGCAGUUAAAAAGCUCGUAGUUGAAUUUCGGGACCAUCAUGUUGGUCGUGCCUCGGUACGUACUGGCAUUGUUGGUUUCUCCCUUCUGACGAACCAUGAUGUCAUUUAUUUGGUGUCGUGGGAAAUCAGGACUGUUACUUUGAAAAAAUUAGAGUGUUUAAAGCAGGCUCACGCUUGAAUACAUUAGCAUGGAAUAAUGAAAUAGGACGUUUGAUUCUAUUUUGUUGGUUUCUAGGAUCGACGUAAUGAUUAAUAGGGAUAGUUGGGGGCAUUAGUAUUCAAUUGUCAGAGGUGAAAUUCUUGGAUUUAUUGAAGACUAACUACUGCGAAAGCAUUUGCCAAGGAUGUUUUCAUUAAUCAAGAACGAAAGUUAGGGGAUCGAAGACGAUCAGAUACCGUCGUAGUCUUAACCAUAAACUAUGCCGACUAGGGAUCGGAUGAUGUUAAUUUUUAAUGACUCAUUCGGCGCCUUAAC